AGCAGCCGCGGUAAUUCCAGCUCCAAUAGCGUAUAUUAAAGUUGUUGCAGUUAAAAAGCUCGUAGUUGAAUUUCGGGAUCGAAUUGUUGGUCGUGCUUCGGUACGCACUGGCAUUAUCGGUUUCUACCUUCUGAAGAACCGCGAUGUCAUUAAUUUGGUGUCGUGGGGAAUCAGGACUGUUACUUUGAAAAAAUUAGAGUGUUUAAAGCAGGCUUACGCUUGAAUACAUUAGCAUGGAAUAAUGAAAUAGGACGUUUGAUUCUAUUUUGUUGGUUUCUAGGAUCGACGUAAUGAUUAAUAGGGAUAGUUGGGGGCAUUAGUAUUCAAUUGUCAGAGGUGAAAUUCUUGGAUUUAUUGAAGACUAACUACUGCGAAAGCAUUCGCCAAGGAUGUUUUCAUUAAUCAAGAGCGAAAGUUAGGGGAUCGAAGACGAUCAGAUACCGUCGUAGUCUUAACCAUAAACUAUGCCGACUAGGGAUCGGAUGAUGUUAAUUUUAUAAUGACUC
rnacentral:rRNA from 1 species